AGCAGCGAGCGGGCCGGCCCGGUCCGUUGGUGGCGGCGCGCGGGGGAGCUAAGGGAAGACUCCGCGCGGGACUCAGGAGUGUGGCGGCGCGGGGGUGCGGGGGCGACUGUCGCAGGCCGAGUCUGUGCUCCUCGGAUCUGCACCGGGAGAGCCGGGUCUGAACCCGGAGAGUGGCGAGCCGCCCUUCUCUCUAGCACCCUGCGGUCAACACUGUCAUUUAUUGCUGGGGCUGGAGGAAUGGAGGGGGCUGCAAUGUCCAAGAAGACUAAGCGCCUUCCCCCACUCCGCCUGGACUGUGGCGGUCACCAGCCGCCCGCGGAGAGCUGGCCUGUUUGUCACUGCCCUGGGAUUCUCUACCGUGCCGCGAUGGGGGAGGGGACACCCGGACUGCUGAGCCCUUCUGGGUGUGAGUUUUGAAGCCUAAUUUUCCUCUUAUUUUCCCCUUGGGGAGACUCUCCCCUCUGGGGAUUUGUUCCGGAUCUGCUCGGGUUGCGAGAACUUGUUGACCAGUGAAGACUGGUAGAACCCCGGUCCGCCCUGGUUCGAAUGUCUGUUUAUUUCUCAAAGUGACUCCUCCUACGUAUGCGGGACCUCGUGUGUGUCCCUUAAGGGGUCAAGGCUCGGUCCGCGCGCUGACAACGGGCUUUCGGGCUGCGGGAAAGUCGGGUGCGCCCUCCUGGGGGCCAGUGGCUCUAUCUAUGCUAAUUUCCUCGGUAACCUUUAAACUCUCUGGAAGCGGCCGCGACGGCGGCUUGUCACGUGAGACAACCCUGGGCUGCUAGGGAAGCAUUUUCUCGGCCCGGACCGAGAAGACGGGCGACAGGGCAUGGCUCUGCGUCCAGCGGACUGGGAACCUGGGAAGGCCGGGUUGAGCGUGCCAGGCCCGGGGCGCCGCACAGCGGGAACUUCCAGCCUGCGCCCGGGAAGGGGCUGGUCCCGCUGCUCCCCACUGUACUCACCUCAGAACAGAGUGCCAAAGGGAUGCACUGCUGAAGAUAAUGUGCCCUCUAUUCAAGAACGAAACUUCUGUGGAUGUUGUUCAGGUCUGCUGAUGGCCUCGAGGAAGGAGGGGCCAGAACCUUAGAGGGGUGUGUUAAUAACGCCCGUCCCCACCCAUUGUUGUGCCAGUUGUUGCCAUUUAUAGACACUUAAUGGGCCUUGGAAAGGUCGCCCUGGUCAGGGUCUAUCAUCCUUCUUUCACAGGCUCUGCUGAAAAGAAUUCAGCUACCUGGGUCUGGGAAUAGAAUACCCAGCAGCACAAGACAAAGACCAUCUGCAGCCUUGCCAAGCCAGCCCCACCCGGCUCCCACCCAUUCCAGCACACUCCCAACCUUGUCUCAGGCUCACGUGUCUGUAAACUGGCUUUUACCUGGCUUCUACCCUGGCUUCUUAUUUUGGCCCUGACCUGAACUCUGUUGCAGUGACUCAGAGACCAACGUUCACUCGAGCUUUCAAGGAGAUGGGUGGAUCAAUGAUCACCCCAUAAAGAUUAAAAAAUGGAUGCAGGGAAGUGAUGGCCCGGUAUCUUCUUCCCAUAGUUCCUUGGAGUGACAGCCCACUGGCUAGGAUCCCACAUGGAGAUAACAUUCCAUAUAUCUGCUUCUUUCUCAUACAUUGUACUGUGUCUAGAACCUUUUAAAUAUUCAUAUUAAUCCAAAAGGUAUUAAGUAUGUGUUAUGUAAAAGAAUCAGGAGUAGAGGACUGGUUUUACAUAUGAGAAGGCCUGAGUUCAAUCCUCAAGAAAACACACAUGUGAAGGUGUACAUACAUACAUGUACACAUACACACACACACACACACACACACACACACACACACACACACCACACACACUCGCGCACACUUCUAAGAUGGGUACUCUGGAGAAAAUAAUUGCUGACUAGCUCCUACUCAGCCAAGGAGAGAGCUAGAUCAGUUCAUUGAGGUGUUUAUUCGUCAGAACUCGGCCUGCAUUAAUUGAGAUCAGCUUAACUGUGCUUCUGGCCGCUGUACUCUGAUCAGCACUCCCCAAAUGGCAAGACCUCCACAAAAUACACAUGGCAUGGUGGUGGGAGCUCUGUUCCACCUAGCAUCACUCUUGCUCCUGGGUCCAAGCCAACUGAACUUUCCUAGGCACAGAGCAAGGGCUGUCUGGAGGCUCUUCUGCAGGCAGUGAUGAGUGCUGGGGAAGACAUAAGCCUCUGCUGCUCAUGCGUUGAUAGCUGGAAUCAGUAACAUGACCCUCUCACCCAACUACAAGAGAAGCUCUGCCCUCUGCACCGGCAAUGCCCUGGAGUAUUAAGUGGGUGGCCCUGGUAUUUCUCUCAGACAAUUGGUCCAGAGCACUAUGUUUGUUUGCCCUUGGUGGGCAAACAGCCCAGCUGAUAAGUGUCAUAAAGGGGUGGGACAUGGCCCCAGCAAUGAUCAUAGAAAGUUUGGAACUGUUUGGCCUCCAGUGGACAUAGAGAAAACAUGGGGAUCCUACCUCCUAUCAGAACCAAUGCCCCCACUCCAUGCCCCCUUAGUCUUUCCUUCACAUGGCAUUCUGCAGAGCACCAAGACCCUCAACAUCACCCUGGAACCACGACCAAACUCAGGAGACAUCCACACAGCACAGAACCGAGGACCCUUGGGUGGUGGUUCUCGGCAGGAUGUGACAGAACACUUUGCUGUCUCUAUUGUCAUUGCAUGAGGCAUCUGAGAUGUAGAAAAGUUGACUGACUCGCCAAAAAGGAAAAUGAAAGUUAGAGAUCUAGUCCCAAGUCUUAAACCUUCUAGUUAAAUUUACUGCAAAAAUAAAUAAUAAAAUAAACAUUGCCAUGCUGGAACAAUACCACACCUUUUAAUGGUGACAAUGUGAGUUACAUUUAGUUCCUUAGUAGUGACAUUUCUGCAUAUCCAAGAUCAGGACUUGUCUUAAUUUAUUCUAAAUUAAACUGACCUUAUACCAGUAUAAUUCUUUGAAUAAAAUAUACGACAUAUUACAAUAAUGAUAUAUUUACUCUCAAAGGACAAUGGUAUUAAUGGUAUUGGUGGAGUUCCUGUUUUGUUGAUCAAAAGGUUCAAACAAAUCUCUCUCUCUCUCUCUCUCUCUCUCUCUCUCUCUUCUCUCUCUCUCUCUCUCUCUCUCUCUCUCUCUCUCUCUCUCUCUCUCUCUGUGUGUGUGUGUGUGUUUCAAGACAGGAUCUCACUGUGGUCCACCAUGCUAGACCUGGCACUCCCUGUGUACACUAGCCUGGCCUGGAACUCACAGAAAUUCUCCAAAUUCUGACCCCUGGACACUGGGAGCAAAGGAGUGUGCCACCACGCUUGGCCUAACCUCUGUAUUUGUGCAUCUCCACUCCCAUUCUAGCCACAUCAAUGUUGGAUGUGGCUUUUGACACCCGUACAAGUGUAGUGGGUGCUUCCGCUGGCUACCAUGCCUCUAGCACACUCUGGACAUUUAGCUGAUGACCCAUUGCUACUUUCUCACCUGCCUUUUCAGGAUAAACAAGGGCUCAAGGGCAGGGAAUAUUGCUGUUUAUCAGUGAUAAGAAUCAGGCACCAUGGGGCUGGGGAUUUAGCUCAGUGGUAGAGCGCUUACCUAGGAAGCGCAAGGCCCUGGGUUCGGUCCCCAGCUCCGAAAAAAAGAACCAAAAAAAAAAAAAAAAAAAAAAAAAAAAAAAAAAAACCACGCACCAUAAAACCUGUCACCAGAACUGGUUAAACCCACCCAUUCUGUUUCAGGGGCUGCACUGUUGGUAGGUCUUCCCUUGGUAAAGGCCAUGACCCUCCACAGACAAGGCAUCGCUGUCCUACUUCAGUGAAGCUCUAACCCCCUUCCAGAGCUCUCUACCACCUUCUUCCUCAUACCUCCUCUGCAUGAUAUAGCUAUUUGAUACCUACCUUAAUCUGCUACUCCCACGCUCACACCCCCCAAAAAGUUUAAAAGUUCAGAGGCUCAAGCGUGACUCAUUUUGGAACUCCUGGGUAUCUUGGGCGUACUGUAAUAAUUGAAUGACUCUUGUGAGAAAAAUGAUACUGAUACAGUUCUUUAAGUUGUUUGGUUAACAAGAGUCAAACAAAAGGACAUCUUUUGAUAACUUUUGCUCUAGGAAAAUUUAAAAGAAAAGGGGUGCUCUAAAUCUUGCAGAUUCUCCAUUGUUUGUUCAAAUGAGUGACCAAGUCAGUAGGUUAGUGGAAGCCUGGGCAGUACCUCUCUGGUCAGUGCCUUCAUGCCAUGCCUGGCUCCACGAGUCCAUGGCGCCCUCUGGUGGAUACCAGCACAGAUGCUAUGGGAAUCUAAUGGUUUCUGCUCCCGGUGAACUGAGCACUGUCCUUCACUUGCUGGCUUCUCUCUAGUUGCUGUGAGCCCCCCCAGUUCACCACAGUCCAUGCUAGCGCUGAAUGGACUUGGGAAUAGAUCUAAAGAGGGUUUCAGAGACUCUGUUAUCUCUUACCCAGCAUCUGCAAAAUGUCUCAGGACAGGGGCCAGCAGGGUAGACAAGGGACAGGGUUCUGCUUAUCUCCGAUGGGGCUUUUGGAAGAGGCAGCUGAGCCAGGAGCUUAGAAAGAAUGAGGGUGGCCCAUAGCACCCUCAUUUGGAGAAUUCCAAAGCCUAAUGCUCACCCCACAAUCCAGUAAAGAAUGCAGCACACACACACACACACACACACACACACACACACACACACACACACACACACACAGGUCGGGGGGCACAAAUGAUUGAUACAGAGACAACACAUGGUUUGACAUAAGGGUCAGAGAGUUACAUGGUAGGUGGGAGCUUCAUUUUUCUAGCUCAAUUGAAGCUGUGUGACUCCCCCACUCUCUGGAAGACAUAAUACUGUAUAGACUGUUGUGUUACACAUAAAUAGUCUGUUAUGUCUAUUGAAGUAUCCUGCCUAUGGUAUAGACAUAUAUACCAUAGACAUCUAUACUAUGGGCAUAUGCCUAUGGUAUAGACAGAAUAGCAAGCCCAGGGAUAGGUCAAAGGGAAGACCAUUGUACAUGGAGCCACUGGGUUCAUCCACGUGCCAAUCACAAGUGAGAGACAAUUACAAGAUGCUGCUACCAGGUAGGAGCGUGUGCGCGCGCGUGUGCGUGUGUGUGUGCGUGUGUGUGUGUGUGUGUGUGUGUGUGUGUGUAUAAAAUCUUCUCAAAAGGAGGAGCUUUGACUGUGUUACAGGUGAUUCCAUGAUGGUUUGUUCAGGAAAAACUGAGACACAUGGGGUUGUGGUCUAUUUGUUUAAUAAGCUCAAAUCAGAAGGUAAGGGAAUCCUGGGGGCCUCAAGGCAUAUUACAAAGACUCACCCUGCACAUUUCUGGGGGUGGUAAGUCAGCUCCUGACGGGAGGAGGGAUUCAUAAGAAAUGGACAGAGAGUUACCCAUACCCAGGUGUGAGGAAUGGACAGUCAGGAAUGCUCAGUGUUUGUUCUUUAUGAAACACAUGCAUGACAGAAGCUGGUCACCAGCUGGACCCCUCACCAACGAGCUACCUAGGAAGGAAGGGCAAGCCGCCCAACCUUGUCUCACCAGUUGUCAUGGGAGCAAGUCCCUUCAGCUCUGGCCUCUAUCUGCAUGUGAGCCACCUAGCUCUGCUUCUUAGGGGCUCCACUCUGUGGUCCCCAUUGUUUUCUUUAGCAUCUGGCCACCCUCUAGUAGCACUUUCCUAUCAGUAAGUCCCACCAUCCAUCUUUCCUAUAUUUUUAAAUAAUUUUUAAAAAGUGCACGUAUACCAUGAGGGGUUUUACCAGAGCAUUUUCUAGCUGUUCCUUCUUUCCUCACCUUUUAUGUUCUUAUAUUCACUCCUCCCAUUUUCCUUCCCUCCCCACUUCUGUUCCCCUCCUUUCUGAUCUUAUGUCUCAUGGACUCCAGUAACCUCUCUUUCCUCCUGUACUGGCUGGUUUUGUGUGUCAACUGGACACAAGCGGAGUUAUCACAGCAAAAGGAGCCUCCCUUAAGGAAAUGCCUUCAUGAGACCCAGCUGUAAGGCAUUUUCUCAUUAGUGAUCAAGGGUGGGAGGGCCCAGCCCAUUGUGGGUGGUGCCGUUCCUGGGAUGGUGGUCCAGGGUUCUAUAAGAGAGCAAGCUGAGCAAGCUGGGGAAACAAGCCAGUAAGUUACAUCCCUCCAAGGCCUCUGCAUCAGCUCCUGCUUCCUGACCUGCUUGAGUUCCUGUCCUGACUUCCUUUGGUGAUGAACAGCAAUGUGGAAGUGUAAGCUGAAUAAACCCUUUCCUCAUCAACUUGCUUUUUGGUCACGAUGUUUGUGCAGGAAUAGGAACCCGGACUAAGAGACCCCCAUCAGUCCCCAUCUCAAGAUGCGCUCUCCUUUGAUGUAGUCUCACUGUGUAAUGAAGCUGCCCUGGCCCUCAUCCAGGCCUCCACGCUGCCUUGAACCUCUUACCUUUGUAUUGUGCCUUCGCAAUGCAGAAGCUUCCGCCUACUGAAGGCACAGUACUGAGCACUGAGAAGCUGAAGCACAAGACCAUGAGGUGCUGUGAGUUUGAAGGAAGAGGAGACAGCGCCCCUUGGCCUCCAGCGACAAGGAAAGGCCCUCUGGAAAAGUAGAGGUGGAAACUGGACCUGGACAAGAGGAUGAGAGCAUUCGGGUGGACAGAUUUCCCACUCACUGCAUGAGACUUGAGACUUGAAAAGGCUUUAGUCAGUGGGGUGUGUGUGUGUGUGUGUGUGUGUGUGUGUGUGUGUGUGUGUGUGUGUGUGCAAGCGAGGGGAGGAGACUUAGGAGAGGUGAGGAACAGGGUAUGGGUAGCAUGAAAUAGGAAAGCUGGGAAGGUGUAACCAGAAGGAGAAAGGGAAUUAGAAAGGCGACAGAGAUGGACGCAAACUAUAAUGAACCCAUGUAUAUGAAGGUGCCAUGACAAGCCUAUUACUGCACGUUUUAACCUUUUAAAUCCUUUUGUUAACAUUUAUUUAGUACAUGUUGGAGUCAGAGGACAGCUCUCAGUAGCCAGUUCUUUUCUCAUGUGGGUCUCAAGGAUCUAACUAUUAAUCAGGAUCAGGAGCAAGCGUCUACCUACUGAGCCAUCUUGCUCAUCCUGCAAAGUUCAUUUAAAGGGGGGGGGUAAUCCAAUGAGCCACUAGUUUUCUGAUACAAGUUAGAACAUUAAAGAGGAGUAGCCCUAAGGGUUAUCCCCGGUAGAAUGAUCCAGAAAGAUAACGCAGCUGUCGAGAAUACCUAAUGUUUUUGUGGAGAGCUGGCAGCACCUAUGUCUCAAUGAAUGGGCCUCAAAGACCUCUAGACCCUGAGGUGUCUUUCUCUGCCAUGCCUGUCUAUGUCAGCAAUGUCCUCAGGAACUGCCUGGACUCUGGGCCUCUGUGAACAUCUCACCGUCCUGUGGGUGAGAACUGAUGCUUUUCACUUUCUGCUGCAUCCUGGCCUGCGUGUGCUGAAGUUAAAGGAAGUGAGCUGUGCAUCUGAAUUCCUCUCUCCGCCUCUGGAAGGUGGACAUAGUGUGAGCAGCUGCAUUAUAGGCCUGCAGCCUUGACGGACUGAAUCCCUGUUCAUGAGACAGCCCCUUUCCUCCGGGACCUGCAUUUUCCAGUCAUUCUGUCCCAGCAAAGUGACUGAGAUAGAAUUGACUUCCCACCCAUCAGAGGUCAGGUGAGAAAAAUGUGAUUCAACACUGCUACUUAGGUUCCUAAGGAGGGGUCAGAGUUAAAUAAAGCAUCUGCAUGGGACCCCUAUUGAAA